AUACUGUGUGUUGGUAACAAGGCAGAAGAGCGGUAAGGGCUAGGCAAUGGGGGUCAAGUGACUUGCCCAGGGUCACACAGCUGGGAAGUGUCUGAGGCCAAAUUUGAACCUCUAGGCCUGGCUCUCAAUCCACUGAGCCACCCAGCUGCCCCCUGGAACUAGGUUUUGCAGGACUGCACGUAUAUAACCCAUUUCAAAUUGCUUGCCUCUCUAGGAGGUGGGAGUGGAAGGAGGGAGGGAUAAAAUUUGGAAUUCAAUUUUUUAAAAAAUGAAUUAAAUGAAUUAAAUUUUUUAAAAUUAAAAAUUGCUUUUGCAUGUAACUGGGAAAAUGAAAUAUUUUUUUUAAGUUGCAUGAUAAAUAAAUGACAAGCCACCUCAGUAUCUUUGCCAAGAAACCUCCAAAUGGGAGUCAGACAUGACUAAAAUGACUGAACAAAAGACUUAUAUGACCUUAGAGAUCCCCUCAUCUAGGGCAGCUGGGUGGCUUAGUGGAUUAAGAGCCAGGUCUAGAGAGGGGAGGUUCUGGGUUCAACUCUGGAAUCAGACACUAGUUGUGUGACCCUGGACAAAUCACUUAACCCCAACUAUCCAGCCCUUACUACUCUUCUGCAUUGGAAUCAAUACCUAGUAUAGGUCCUAAGUCAGGAGGUAAGGAUUUUAAGAAGGAAACAAAAUUAUCUAAUCCAAUCUAUAGUUGGUUCAUUUUCACAAAAGCCCAUGCAACUACCCAACGUCACACAGAGAAUAAGUUGGAAGAUCCCGGGUUUGAAAGCAGAUCCAAAAAAAAAAUUACACCAAAUUUAUUCUGGGUCUUUCCAGAAGGCUAAGCUAUACUAAUGGAUGGAAAGUACCAGAUUUAAAGUAAGUGUGUUCAUUUUAGAAUACUGGCGAGCUGAGGCACAUCAGAGGUCCUCGAGAUCAAGCCAUAGAAUGAAGGAACUGAAGUCAUUUAGCUUGAAGAAAAGAAGACCUGUGGGAAUGAGGGAACUGCCUAGAAGCAUUUGGGGGGCUAUCAAAUGCUAGAGGGAUUCUACCUGGUUUUUUAUCCCAAAGGGUAGAAACAGGAGCAAAGUGAGAGGGAGCCGUGAAGAGGCUAAUUCAGCUCUGAUUUUGGAGAAAACUUUCUAACCAUUGUUCAAUCAGUUUUCAUUCAUGUCCAACUCUUCAUGACCCUAUCUGGGGUUUCCUUGACAAAAAUACUGCAGUAGUUUGCCAUUUCUUUCUCUUUCUAAUUUUGUUUGUUUGCUUAUUAUUUAUUUAUUUUUAGGCCUUUACCUUCUGUCUUGGAAUCAAUACUGUGUAUUGGUUCCAAGGCAGAAGAGUGGUGUAUGAUUGAAAAUCUGUUACCCUGAAAAAAGAACUACAUAUCCCAAGAGCCCAUUGACUUCCUGUCAUUAUGUACUUCCUGUAGGCAGAGGAUAAAGGGCGUGGGCUUUGGAAGCACCCUCUCUCUGAUGUAGAAUCAGCAUUAAUGGCGGAAAUGAUGAACUGGAGGAAUCUCAUGUGAACUGGAAUGACCUCCAAGAAUUGAUGCAGAGUGAGAGGAGCAGAACCAGGAGAACAUUGUACACAGAGACUGACACACUGUGGUACAAUCAAAUGUAAUGGACUUCUCUACCAGCAGCAAUGCAGUAACCCAAGACAAUUCUGAGGGACUUUUUAGAAAAAAUGUGAUCCACAUCCAGAGGAAGAACUGUGAAAAAAGAAAGAGCUGGAAAGAUCUACAUGAACUGAAGCAGAGAGAAAUAAGUAGAACCAGGAGAACAUCAUACACAGUAACAGCAAUAUUGUGGAAAGAUCAACUGUGAUUGACUUAGCUAUUAUCGCCACUACAAUGAUCCAGGACAAUUCUUUGGGACUAAUGACAAAGAAUGCUAUCCACCUCCAGAGAAAGAACUAUUGGAGUCAGGAUGCAAAUGAAGGCAUACAAUUUUUCCAUUGUUUAUUAGGGUUUGUGUGUUGGGGUUUUGUUUUUAUAAGAUUUCUCACUUACAAAAGUGAAUAUGGACAUGUGUUUUGCAUGAUAAUACAUGUAUAACCCAGAUAAAAUCACCUGCCAGCACCAGGUCAGGGAAGUGAAGGAAGAGAGAUAAGUUAAAUCAUAUUUGAGAGAGAGAGAGAGAAAAAAAGAAGAAGAAGGGAGGGAGGGAGAGAGAGAAAGAGAGGAAGGAGAGAGAGAAAGAGUGAGAGAGAGAGAGAGAGAGAGAGAGAAAGGAAGAGAGAGAAGAAGGAAGGGAGAGAAAGAGAGAAGGCGUAGAGAGAGAAAGAGUGAGAGAGAGAGAGAGAGAGAGAGAGGAAGGAAGAGAGAGAAGAAAGAAGGGAGAGAAAGAGAGAAGGGGUGGAGAGAGAGAGAAAGAGAGAGAGAGAGAGAGAGAGAGAGAGAGGAAGGGAGAGAAAGAGAGAAGGGGUGGAGAGAGAGAGAAAGAGAGAUGCUAAAAAAAUAAAAUUAUUCCUUAGUAGCUCAUUUCCCUGGAAGAUCACCCUCAUCAACUACCUCAUUUCAUUUUAAGUUUUAGUAAUGCCUUUUGAUUUUCACACUACAAUCAUUUCCCAAUAUAGUGUACACUCCACUAUCCCACCCACACAGACCCCUCCUUGGGCAAAACCUACCAAGGUAAUAACCUCCUCUGACAGCAUAGGUAGUCUUCCACCCCUGCAUCCUCCCAUCUCUGUACCAAGAAGAAGGAAUUCUAUUUCAUCAUUUGUCCUGCGAGGCCACUAUUUAUCAUUAUAAAAUGUAUAUAUGCACAUAUAUUCCUUUCAUACACACACACACAUAUAUAUGAAAUAUCUGAGACCAGAUUUGCCCGAUCUAGCUCUCUCUCUGCUGAGCCACCUAGCUGCCCUGAUCAUAUUGAAUCUGGAUUCAGCUGUCUCUUUGUAAUAAUGGAAAUUGGGGCUGAGGAGUAAAGACACUUGUCUGUAGGCAGAAUGGGGGCUUGAGCCAAUGACUUCAAACCCAAAAUCCAGCCACAAUUCUGCUCUCCCUUUUUUUUUUUAACCUUCAUGAAGAACAAUCGUAGAGAACUUUUUCAAAUACCUUAUAAGCUUAUCUUGCUAAGAAAAGGACAAAUACACAGUUCAUUAUUUCACAGAGAGUAACCACCAACUCUUACUGGCAAUCUGCCCACCAAAAAGAGAUGCUUGAUAGAUUAUCAACUUUACAAAUAUAGGGUAUAUAUCCGGUAUGAUGAGAUUGUGGGCAAGCAUGCUAAUGGGCUUAAUUGCUAUACCACAGAGGCAUUGCUAAAUGAAAAAACAUCUGCCCAAGUAAGAGUUAGAUCUGUGCCAUAUUUGUACAUAGCGUCAUCAUUCAUUUCACUGUGAGCCAUAUGGGCUCCCAAAACUAAGUAAGCCCUUCAAACUAAGUCCUAAAUCUAACCUCUUUUCUUCUGCACAAUGGGCAUCUCAUUUCUUAGUUGAAAUGUAGACUUCCAACUAUAUAUUUUAGGCUCUAUGGAAUAUCAUCUGUGUUUUUAUUCCCAAAGGUCUGUGCCUCAUCUAGCUAUCCAACUCCAGGCCUGAAAUUAAUAAGCUUUUUUUUUUCUUUUAAAACCCUCAUCUUCUUUUUUUAGAAUCAAUACUCAAGUGACUUGUCCAGGGUCACACAGCUAGGAAGUGUCUGAGGCAAGAUUUGAACCUGGGACCUCCCAUCUCUAGGUCUGACUCUCAAUCCACUAAGCCACCCAGCUGCUCCUUCAUAAGUUUUUUGAUGAACAAGAAUGAUUAAACUUUUUUCUUUAUGGUCCCAGAGAAAAAGUAGAUAGUAUUUUGUAGGUAGACUGGCCCUGGAUAUCCAGUCAUCACUAUCCAAUAGGAAAACUGGUAAAUUAGUGAGUUCUCUCUUUUAGAAGGGACAAAGGUAAAAUAAAACUCUUUAAGAGUUUUGUGUCCUUCUCAGAGUCCUCUUAUCCUUAAGUUGUCUCACAAAGCCUGUUUUCAAGAUCAAUAUAUUUUGCUUGUAUAAAGAUCAUGUUUUUCCUUUUUUUCCUUCUUUCUUUUUUCUUCCUCUUUCUUCCU